GCGAGAGUGGCGGAACCGGCAGACGCGCCGGACUUAGGAUCCGGUGGUGAAAACCGUGGGGGUUCGAAUCCCCCCUCUCGCACCA
rnacentral:tRNA from 1 species